ACGGGGUGCAGCAGGCGCGAAAACUUCACAAUGUGGGCAACCACGAUGAGGGAAUUCCCAAGUGCUCAUGCUUUGCAUGUGCUGUUUCUUAGCCUAAGUAGCUGGGAGAGUAAGGGCUGGGUAAGACGGGUGCCAGCCGCCGCGGUAAUACCCGCAGCCCGAGUGGUGAUCGGUUUUAUUGGGCCUAAAGCGUCCGUAGCCGGUUUGGUAAAUUCCUGGGUAAAUCGAGUCGCUUAACGAUUCGAAUUCCGGGAACACUGCCAGACUUGGGACUGGGAGAGGCCAGAGGUACUCCAGGGGUAGGGGUGAAAUCCUGUAAUCCUUGGGGGACCACCAGUGGCGAAGGCGUCUGGCUAGAACGGGUCCGACGGUAAGGGACGAAGCCCUGGGGCACAAACCGGAUUAGAUACCCGGGUAGUCCAGGGUGUAAACGCUGCGAGCUUGGUGUUGGGGGUCCCACGUGGGCGUCCAGUGCCGGAGAGAAGUUGUUAAGCUCGCCGCCUGGGAGUACGUCGCAAGAC
rnacentral:rRNA from 1 species